AUGAAGUAGCUGCAAAGUGUCUAGAGCGAAAAACCAACAUGCCACCUCUUCCUCAGGCAGAUGUGGCACUUGAGUGCGCUUCCCUGCAGGCCACGGGCGCUCCAGUAAGGACAGCUAGGCACUUGCAUUCUGGCAGAGGCUUGUGUCCAGAUUCUGAGAUAAAAUGGGUGUAAAGGGGAAAAUCAACGCUUCUCCUGGCUUGUCUCCAAAAAUGGGAAGAGUUCCAACUGUUUGUGAUGUUUUAUAACGAGAGAUUGAGGUUUCACUUGUGAGGAGAAAAGGCAUCUCAUCUGCUCAGCUGGAGGGGCAGUGGACAAGUACGGAAUCAGAGGCAGCACCUGCAGCCCCCCCUGCAGAGCGGCAAGAGCCAGGGGAACAUCUGCAUCUAGUUGAUUGACAAAGUCUAAAAAUCUGUUAAAAAACAGAAGGGGACCUCCAAUAUUUGAAAAUGAGACAAUAAUAAUGAAGAUUAUUCAAAGCAAAGACGUGGUGUGUCAAUAAUCAACAGCUGUUUGAAUAGAAAAUCAAAAACUUGCUGUUACCCAGCAGCACGCCGGAGACUGCCUUCUUUUACCAAAAGCUUUCAGUGAUGACAUACACACCAUUUUCUGUGGCCAAGGGAGAUAACCGGAAUCUGGGGAGACACAUGCCUUUGCUAGUCGGUUUUGGUUAAUCUUUUGUCAGUGUCAACAGCAGCCUCCAGUUUCUCUGGCCCACAGUUGUGUUGCAAGUUGAAUACACAUGAUUUCUGCUGACAAAGCCUUCAGAGCAGGUAGAAGAGGUAAAGUUGAAAUAUUCAAAAUAUACCUGUGAUGACGUACGCUGGAAUGAAAAAAAAGGGAAGAGAAAAAUAAAAAGCCUACCACGCUGAUGGUACCAUACACCAGUACCUCCUGUCUGGAAGCAUGGGGAUGCAAACACUGUGAGCUAUGGAGGGAAUGGAGGAUCUGUUGAUACUCAGAAGAAGUUGUAUCUAGAAGACCAGCAUGAAGCUGGAGUCCUCAUCAGCUGGAUAGAUGUGCACAUUUAGUCCAAGGAGAUUGUUCAUUACUCUGGAUGUUUGCUCUUCACCCUGUCUCCCUUCCCAGCCAUCUGUUCAGCUUUUCUCUGCUGGAAAAUAGGCAAAGAACGGGUGCCACUUGUGCCACCGGCUCUCCUCCUACCAGCUGCAAGUGCUUUGCUGACUACCAGUUGCUUGUGGAGCAGGGUGUGGGGCCCGCCAGCAGCGAAGCGUCAGCAAUGGCAGCAUUUCCCGCACACAGACAGUCACUGCAACCUUUGCAGAACCCUCUGAAAUACUGUUAUCCAGCCAGAGCUGUCACUCCACGCUGUAUCUGGAGCAAUCCAAACUGGAGAGGUCACUUGUUAACUUAGCGACAUUUCUAGAAAAGAAGGUAUACCGCCCUGCAUCAGGGAGUGGUGUACUUCCUGGGAAAGGAUAUAAUGGAAGUCACACAUAAAAAUACAUGGAGCUGCCUUAAAGUAUGAGUUAUCAGUGGCUUCUCACAGACUCUGCACAUUAAGGCUGGUAUAUAAAAUAAUUUGUUUCUUGUUUUAAUUUUUAUGAUUGAUGUUAAAAUGUAUUGUAUGUUCUUACCUGAAUCUCAGUGUCACCUCUUAGAAGAUGCAAACUUCAGCGCAAAGAGGGACCUGCCAGUCAACUCUCUUUAGUUUGCUUUGUAAAGAAGCCAGGCAGACCAAUUCUCCUUUUGCCUGCAUUCCUGUCUCAGGUAUUGCAGUGACUGCCUGGAAGAAGAAACAAGUUAAUUCAGCACCACAUAUAAUUUGUUGGUGGUGUCUGACUUAAGGCAAAAAUUUUGGAAUAAACUGUUAUUUCUUCUUCUCUGUGUAAUUCAGUUUGUUACUACUGCCGUCAUCUUUUCUGUGCAGUCCAACAAAUGUGUGUGCUGUGUAUAAGACAUCUCAGAUUGCUAUUUGGGCACAAACAUAUGGAGUCAACAAAUGACUUGUACAUUACAGCUGUAAAACUGAAACCUGUGAAAUCAGCCAAGUAUUAUUCACUCACGUUUGACAGUACUUGAAAUAUGAACCAUACUAAACAAAUGGCUCUUUUCAAGCCCACCAAAAAGACAAGGUGAAGGAACAAAUGCCAGGCAGUAAGAAGAAAGCAAAAGAUACUCAGGAGGGAACUCACAUAAACAAAUGCAAAACCCCCUGCACUUCAGGACAGUUGGCUGUAAAUUAAUUUCAAGCAGGUAAUCAAAACAUUUUUGUUUUUCAUAAGUUUUACUAUUUUUGUAGAUUUAUUCAUAUGUAAUACAUGUCAUAUAUAGUCUAAUGUGGUUACAUGUGUUCAGAUAUAAAAAGUCAUUCAUAUUUCAAGGAUA